rnacentral:rRNA from 1 species
ACAGAGGUGGCAAGCGUUGUUCGGAAUCACUGGGCUUAAAGCGCGUGUAGGCGGCUCCGAAAGUGUCGUGUGAAAUCCCAGGGCUCAACUCUGGAACUGCGGAGCAAACUCCGGAGCUUGAGGCCGGUAGAGGUGCCUGGAACUCUCGGUGGAGCGGUGAAAUGCGUGGAUAUCGAGAGGAACGCCGUCGGCGACAGCAGAGCACUGGGCCGGUUCUGACGCUGAGACGCGAAAGCGUGGGGAGCAAACAG